AGCGAACGCUGGCGGCAGGCCUAACACAUGCAAGUCGAGCGCCGUAGCAAUACGGAGCGGCAGACGGGAGAGUAACACGUGGGAACGUACCCUUUGGUUCGGAACAACCCAGGGAAACUUGGGCUAAUACCGGAUAAGCCCUCACGGGGAAAGAUUUAUCGCCGAAGGAUCGGCCCGCGUCUGAUUAGCUAGUUGGUGAGGUAAUGGCUCACCAAGGCGACGAUCAGUAGCUGGUCUGAGAGGAUGAUCAGCCUCACUGGGACUGAGACACGGCCCAGACUCCUACGGGAGGCAGCAGUGGGGAAUAUUGGACAAUGGGCGCAAGCCUGAUCCAGCCAUGCCGCGUGGGUGAUGAAGGCCCUAGGGUUGUAAAGCCCUUUCAGCGGGGAAGAUAAUGACGGUACCCGCAGAAGAAGCCCCGGCUAACUUCGUGACAGCCGCCGCGGUAAGAC
rnacentral:rRNA from 1 species